rnacentral:rRNA from 1 species
UACGUAGGGGCUAGCGUUGUCCGGAAUCAUUGGGCGUAAAGAGCGUGUAGGCGGCCCGGUAAGUCCGUUGUGAAAGUCAGAGGCUCAACCUCUGGAGGCCAAUGGAUACUGCCGGGCUAGGAGUCCGGAAGAGGCGAGUGGAAUUCCUGGUGUAGCGGUGGAAUUGCGCAGAUAGUCAGGAGGAACACCGGUGGCGAAGGCGGUUCUCUGGGAAUGUCCUGACGCUGAGGAGCGAAAGUGUGGGGAGCGAACAGG